CAAAUCUCUAUAUAACCUCAACAAACCCCAUCUGAAUAGUCUAUUGGAUACCCACAUCUCAACUUGAUGGUUGCUGAUUUGUUAGCUAACUUCUACGUUCUAGUAUGCUUUUGAUUGCACAUAGAGAGAAAGUUGGUAUGCAUCCAUUGUCGAAAAGGGAGUAGCAUCCUGCAUUAGACAGGGCAGCCCAAUAGGUUGGCGAAAAAGAAGACCAUGAAAAACUAUAAAUGAAAUCAUUAAAAAAGAAUUAAACUUUAAACAGAUUUUCUGCAGACAUGGCCUAUAGUAGGGCACAAUCUCAUUGUUUGAUUAAUGUAGCUUGGGUAUAAAACAAUGUUUUUUUUUGUAUAUAUGUGCAUGUAAGUGCAAUCAUACUAGUAUUAAUGCAUCGGAUUUCAUUAAAACUCCGCAUUUAAGCGUGUGGUGAGGGUAGUGCUAGGCUGGAUGACUUCCCUGAAAAGUCCUCGUGUUGCACCUCUUUGAAGGAGAGCCUUGGAACAUCGAUUGAGUUGUUUCCGUAUGACCUCAAGGUCACGGAUUCAUACUGUGAAAUCAGCCACGGAUAUAAUUAUCAGAUUAAGUUGUGUACAUUAUACCCUUUAGGUGCGGCCCUUCCCCAGACCUUGCAUUAAUGCGGGAUGUUUGUGCACCAGGCUCCCUUUUAUAUGUUGCUUGUAGAGACUAUCCUCAUGCUCGGCAUGCUUGUGCUAAAUUCCCUUCUUCUUCCACACCCCAUGAAACACAUUGUGACCAGUGUCACUGCUGAUUUCCUCCAACCAAGUCCAACCACCCAAUGUAAACAAAUCCGACACCCAUGUAACCCCUAUUGGAAAUGUUGAACCACCAACCGAAUGUUCCAGUUUACCUGAUUCGCUUGUUGAUGUCGAAAACUAGCUUUUCUAUAAAGACUCGGUUCCAAGGUUAAGUGACAAUGGUUCCUUGCCAUCUGAACUGAUCAAUAUUCCAUCUCCUGAAUGGUGGUGAGAAUGUUCAAAAUUUGAGUAGUUAUGAAUAAUGCUAAGGUGGCUAUUGAUUUUUCUGUCACAUGACUUGCUUAGCUAUGAGUACUAUAUAGUAUAUGUCACAUUUUGAGGCUCAUAAAAUCUUUUGUUAAGAGAUAACCUUGCUAGGUGUUCAACAAUCCCCAAAAGUUGGUGAUAAAUUAGAUUGUAUAGUUAGUGCAUAGCCUAAUCAAUUAGAUAUGCUUUUAUUAUAGUUGGAUGUAUUGAAGACUCAAAGAAAGUCUGAACCUUUUUGCUGCUUUUAUGAAUAGUUCAAGACCUUCUAAAGUUAA